UGGCGAACGGGUGAGUAACGCGUGAGGAACCUGCCUCAAAGAGGGGACAACAGUUGGAAACGACUGCUAAUACCGCAUAAGCCCACGGGUCGGCAUCGACCUGAGGGAAAAGGAGCAAUCCGCUUUGAGAUGGCCUCGCGUCCGAUUAGCUAGUUGGUGAGGUAACGGCCCACCAAGGCGACGAUCGGUAGCCGGACUGAGAGGUUGAACGGCCACAUUGGGACUGAGACACGGCCCAG
rnacentral:rRNA from 1 species